rnacentral:rRNA from 1 species
GACGAACCGUGCGAACGUUAUUCGGAAUCACUGGGCUUAAAGGGCGCGUAGGCGGGCUCGCAGGUCAGGGGUGAAAGCCCACGGCUCAACCGUGGAAGUGCCUUUGAUACCGUGAGUCUCGAGGGAGGUAGGGGCGUGCGGAACUUCCGGUGGAGCGGUGAAAUGCGUAGAUAUCGGAAGGAACAUCGGUGGCGAAAGCGGCGCGCUGGACCUCUUCUGACGCUGAGGCGCGAAAGCCAGGGGAGCGAACGGG